rnacentral:snRNA from 1 species
GUGUUUGCUUCAGCAGCACAUAUACUAAAAUUGGAAUGAUACAGAGAUCAGCAUGGCUCCUGUGCAAGGAUGACACACAAAUUUAUGAAGCGUUUCAUAUUUUU